UGGGUCGGUAUGGGCCCAAAACCUCAAACCGGCCCAAUCCACGGAUGUAAAAUGUUGACCCAAACUCGAUCAUUUUAUAGCAUGGGUUCAAUCGGUUCGGUUCAAACGGGUUGCGGGUAAAAACGGAUGGGUUAAUUCGGAUUGAACCAUACAUAUUUUUUCCUACUAAUUCACAGUAUCGAAGAAAUUUUUAAGCAAAAAAUCCAGAUCUAACAUGUAGAUCUUAAAAAGUAAGAAGCAAAUAUUAAGAAAGAGAGAAUGUUCAUGGAGCUUUGUAAAGAAAUCCAGAUCUAACAGUCUCUUCUUCAUCUAUAAAUGAUGAUUUGGCUGAAGGAGAAUCUCAUGAACUUGACCAAAAAAAUUCAUGAAAAGAAGAUUAAAUAUAAAUGUUGCAAAACGUGGCUGCCAAAAUUGAGGUAAGAAAAUAAAUUAGAUUGGGAAAAAACACAGAUUAAGUGAAGAGGAACAUGGAGUAUUAAUUCAUAUUACAAAAAACAAAAAGAAAAAAGAAAAAGAGAAGAAGUGAUUCGUAUUUACAGAGAAGAAGAAACUAAAAGAGGAGAUGGGAGAAAGAAGGUGAUGAUUUGAUAGGGUGGUGGGGUGGUUAGUGGGUGUACGUUGGAAAAGAAAAUAAUAAUAGUAGUAAUAAAUUAAUAGUGCAGUAAUAGUACUAGUAAAA
rnacentral:lncRNA from 1 species